rnacentral:rRNA from 1 species
UAAAAAUGGGAAGAAUCAAUGACGGUACCAUUUGUAAGSCCCGGCUAACUCCGUGCCAGCAGCCGCGGUAAUACGGAGGGGGCAAGCGUUGUUCGGAUUUACUGGGCGUAAAGGGCGCGUAGGCGGCCGGAAAAGUUACUUGUGAAAUCUUGAGGCUUAACCUCCAACGGCCAAGUCAUACUUUUUGAUAGAGUGCAGAAGGGGCAAAUGGGAAUUCUUGGUGUAGCGGUGAAAUGCGUAGAUAUCAAGAGGAACACCCGAGGSGAAAGCGGGUUGCUGGGCUGACACUGACGCUGAAUUGCAAAGCUAGGG